rnacentral:rRNA from 1 species
UACGUAGGUGGCAAGCGUUAAUCGGAAUUACUGGGCGUAAAGCGCACGCAGGCGGUCUGUCAAGUCGGAUGUGAAAUCCCCGGGCUCAACCUGGGAACUGCAUUCGAAACUGGCAGGCUUGAGUCUUGUAGAGGGGGGUAGAAUUCCAGGUGUAGCGGUGAAAUGCGUAGAGAUCUGGAGGAAUACCGGUGGCGAAGGCGGCCCCCUGGACAAAGACUGACGCUCAGGUGCGAAAGCGUGGGGAGCAAACAGG